rnacentral:tRNA from 1 species
UGGCGCGCGGCCAACUNNUGGUUAGAGCACCACCUUGACAUGGUGGGGGUCGUUGGUUCGAGUCCAAUCGCGCCUACCA